rnacentral:rRNA from 1 species
UACGUAGGGUGCGAGCGUUAAUCGGAAUUACUGGGCGUAAAGGGUGCGCAGGCGGCGUCGCAAGUCAGGCGUGAAAUCCCCGGGCUUAACCUGGGAACUGCACUUGAAACUACGAUGCUGGAGUAUGGCAGAGGGGGAUGGAAUUCCGCGUGUAGCAGUGAAAUGCGUAGAUAUGCGGAGGAACACCGAUGGCGAAGGCAAUCCCCUGGGCCUGCACUGACGCUCAUGCACGAAAGCGUGGGGAGCAAACAGG